GGGCCCGCACAAGCGGUGGAGCAUGUGGUUUAAUUCGACGCAACGCGAAGAACCUUACCUGGGUUAGACAACGGUGGACCGCUUCAGAGAUGGAGCUUUCCCUUCGGGGACUGCCGGUUCAGGUGCUGCAUGGCUGUCGUCAGCUCGUGUCGUGAGAUGUUGGGUUAAGUCCCGCAACGAGCGCAACCCUUGCCUCUAGUUGCCAGCAUUUAGUUGGGCACUCUAGAGGGACUGCCGGCGUUAAGCCGGAGGAAGGUGGGGAUGACGUCAAGUCCUCAUGGCCCUUAUGCCCAGGGCUACACACGUGCUACAAUGGUCGGUACAGAGGGCUGCGAAGCCGCAAGGUGAAGCCAAUCCCACAAAGCCGGCCUCAGUUCGGAUUGGAGUCUGCAACUCGACUCCAUGAAGGUGGAAUCGCUAGUAAUCGCGGAUCAGCACGCCGCGGUGAAUACGUUCCCGGGCCUU
rnacentral:rRNA from 1 species